GACAGAGGUGCCGAGCGUUAGGCGGAAUCACUGGGCUUAAAGCGUGUGUAGGCGGGCGGGCAAGUACCUUGUGAAAUCCCACGGCUCAACCGUGGAACGGCUGGGUAUACUGCCUGUCUUGAGCCAACUAGGGGCGAGCGGAACAGACGGUGGAGCGGUGAAAUGCGUAGAUAUCAGGAGGAACACCGGUGGCGAAGGCGGUGGUCUGGGCCGGCACUGACGCUGAGGAGCGAAAGCGUGGGGAGCGAACAGG
rnacentral:rRNA from 1 species